UACGUAGGGUGCAAGCGUUGUCCGGAAUUAUUGGGCGUAAAGAGCUCGUAGGCGGUUUGUCGCGUCGAAUGUGAAAACCCGGGGCUCAACUCCGGGCCUGCAUUCGAUACGGGCAGACUAGAGUUCGGUAGGGGAGACUGGAAUUCCUGGUGUAGCGGUGAAAUGCGUAGAUAUCAGGGAGGAACACCGGGUGGCGGAAGGCGGGUUCUCUGGG
rnacentral:rRNA from 1 species